AAGUAGGCUUGAUCCGAUAGUUUGAGUCCGACUUGCAUAAUAAAAGUAUUUUAUUUUUCUGUUAUGUACCCUACAAGCAGAGAUAUCACAAAGUCCGACUUGAAAAUUUUUACUUUAAGAAACGUCAUCAUCGCCUUUGUACGGCUGCAACGUUUGUCACGAGAUGUCAUUAUUAAUCUUAUCGACCCAGCGGAUUAUCAGACUGAUAAGUCAGGGUUACUGUAGAUCUAACGAAUCAAUGUUCGCAAGGUCCUAGACCUCUGUGGUGACUCUGACUUAUUGGCCUGAUUUAUCCGUUGGGUAACGAUAAGAUUGAUUGAUUGAUGUAAACAUGGUGUGUUUUGUAAACCUCUUAUCAAUAUAAUAAUAAAUACGUGUGCAUUGGAAAAGAAGCAUUGGCAGUAUUAAUAAAUUGCUUACUACUAUUGCAUAGUAUGCUUACUCUUUUUCUGCACGUCCGAGUGAUGGCCAACGAUGUUGACGUUCGCGGCGAGUUUGACAGUUUAUUGAUAAUUUGUUUCGGAGUGUAACUCAUGUUUGUGUCUACUAUAUUUUGCAGCAACGAUUCUUCGAAAGAAUAUUUUACCGGAGCGUGAAUAUUUUACCCAUUGAACUUGUCCGGAUUCAUAUCGACAGUGUAAACAGACGACUCGAUCAAUUUGCCAUUAAUUCUCGCAGUCUGUCAGCAUCGAACAUUGUUGAACAGUGUUAAGAAAUAUCGAACAGCAAUAUGAGUAAAAAAAAUCUUAAUUAUUUGAAAAAGAUGAAAUGCUUAUUGAAUUAGUAAAAGCUAAUCAAGGAUUGUAUAAUUUACAAUCUCCAUUUUAUAGUGAUAACAAUUAUAAAAGAAAAGCUUGGGAUGAAAUUGGAAAAACAUUGAAUCAACAUGAUGCAAAAUACGCUGGAAUCUUUGAAAUCUUAAUACUGAAAACAUUUGAAUAAGCAAAAAACAAAAGUGGACAAGCAGCUACCAAAAUAACAAAACGGAAAUGGCAAGAUCAAAUGUCUUUUUUGAAUGAAUUUUUAAAUCAGGACUCUCCGCAAUUAACAUCUAUUGGCGAAAAUUUCGAUGAAGAAAAAGGAGAUUUAUGUAAAAAGAUUCAUAUAGAAAGAGACUUUCAGAAACUAUCACUUCAUUUCAAAAUAAUGACGAUACAGAGGAUUACGAAUCUCAAUCAAAUCCCAAAAAAACGAUGUUU